UCACUAUACUCCUGUCGUCCAAACUUAACCAAACUAGUUAUAUUUCUAUCAUAUCCGUAAAUGGAAACCAACCCAGACUACUGGACAAUAGCUUUCCAGUGGUCUUCACCUUUCCUCUCGCCUGCCCUAUCUAUCACCUACGUUUCCAUCACUAUCAUCUCCCUUCCAUCACUUUUUUUUGAAGUUGGACAAAGCCCAAGGCUCUGCCAUUUUUGGGAACUGGAGAAAAUUGCAGGACCUUUAGGAGCCAUUUUUGGGAACUGGAGAAAAUUGCAGGACCUUUAGAUUUUGAGAUAUUAUCCCUUCAAACCAAGGGGUCCAAGCCCUCCACCUCUAAACCGUCACUUUACCUCUUCACCUCAACCUUAUAAGGAAAAAAUUCAGACCUUAUCUUUAUCCAAUUUAAUCCUCCUAUGUUUUCUUUAUGAUUUGAGGCCUCACUUGAGAACCGUUGCUGCACCCCCAAUUUUAGCUAUAAAAGGAGCCUUUAGGCUCCCAUGUUUUUAAGGAAGAAUCAUCAACAAUUAUCACUAAUUAGUACUAUAUAUCAAUAGGUUCAUACUUUUCCUCCUUAUUUUUCUUGCUCUCUUUCAAGUUUGAAGGUCCAAUUCGAGUUUGAAUCUCCGACGAGAAAGCCUUAGUUUUGCUGCCCUAGUGAAGAUGCGAGUCCGCCACUCUUUAUUCAUCUCCAUCUUCGUUUAUUUUCUAUUAUUUUAGUUUGUGAAUAGUAGGUGAUUUAGUUUCAAAUGUUAAAUUUUAUUGAUGUUGCUUUUCGUCGCCUUCGCGGAUAGAAUAUAAUUCUAAUUUUGGUGGUCAUGUUGGGUAUGAAAGUAAAAUUUUACCCUACGUGAUCUUGUUGGCUUCAAAUUAAUUUUGUUUAUGGUGGCGUUAUUGUUUGUUACUUGCAUAUUUAGCUCCAAUUUGACUUCAUUCUGAUUUGGAUCUGGCAUUGUUGGAAGCAAAAGUUGUGAAAAUCACCUUGUUUGCUUCACUUUACUCCCUGUUCAUACAUUUUUUUGAAUAUAGGUAUACAUGCGAUAUUUUGUAUUUAGUACAACUACUUAUUUCUUCCUAUCCAUUUUACAUAUUUUUCUUAUGGCUAAUAUAUACUUUUGCAUGAAUGUCAAAUGUUGGCAGCCAUACCAUUCACAAAUGUGAAUGUUUAACAUGGGCUUUUAGCCAUUUGAUUUGUGAAACCAAUCUACACUUCUUGUUGCUUGUUUGGUUUGCACUAUACUUGUAUUUUAUAAAUAUUCAUGUUUUGUGAGUGGAUCAUAGUAAGAUUAUGUAAAUUUUGUCAUUUUAAUCUUGAUUAACUGCAUGUUCUUGUUUGUUAAAAGAUUUUUAAGCAUGACAUUAUACAAUUUCUAUAAGUCUAGUGUCGAGCUAUGGGUUUCGAUAUGUUUUUGGGGUUGCCACAUUUUUGUCUCUCAAAAUAAUAUUUGUGUAUUGGAGGUAAGUGUAGGUUUAUUCUAUAAAUUGUGAUUUUAAGGUCGCCGAAUUUACUUGGUUCGAAUCCGAAUCAUUUUCUGUUAUUUGUUUUUCUUACAUAAGAAUGGUUUGAUUGGUUUUUGUUUGGUCUCGAUUUGCAUUUUGGUUCUGUUUGUGUUUCAGUUUUUGUUGAGGAGUUCUUGUUCACACUUUUGCUUUGAGCUUGAAACAUGAUUUUUAUAAUCCCCCUGAUCGUGAAGAGUUAGUGGAUUCGUGUUGAAUUUUAAUUGCACUAAAGUUUGGAUAGUUGAAUUUAUUUUUCUCUUUAAAAAAGGGAAGACAAAAAAAUCUACACUUGUGGUCUUUUUAUUAUUGCAUCCUUAAGGUUUAUGGAGUAAACGUCAAUCGAAAAUUUAUUUGUGAUUAAUUUAUGAGCUUAAUAUCUACUAGAAUGUGAAAGAAUAUUAUGCUUUUUAUUAACAAAUGCAAAGGUAGUAUCGUCUCUAUUGCUGUUCAUGACAUUGAAUUUUGUGGGUUGUACUUGGUAGAUGAAGUACAAAAUAUGAUUUACAAUGCAAGUGGAUAGAUUGAAUCCUGUUGAGGCAAAGUAAUUUAUUUGUGUGUGUAAUUAGGAUUGAAAAUCACUUCUAAUACUUGUCAUAGAUGUCUUAUCUUUAGCCAUAUAUCUUACUUCCCCUUUGGGUACAGUGCAUGAACCAAAGAAGCUGUCUAGAAUGUCAAUAAUUUGGGUUUUGAAUAUCUAUCUUACCUUAAAGUGCACUUUCAUUCAAAACAAAUUUUCUCUACUGUGUACACACAUUCUUUGUUUAACUUAGUAACUAAUCCAUUUUUUAUUUUUUUUGUCCCAUGUGACCUUGAGUGUUGGAGUUUCAAUUGAGAUUCUAUUUCGGCCCAAAUAUUAGGUUCACAGCUACUGGAAUCAUUAGCGUUCGGGGUGUAAAUCGCAAGAAGUCGGUUUCUCCGAUAGGAAAUUAGUGUAUCGAGUUCCUCACUAUCCUCGAUACUUUAUUGUUCACAUUUAUUUAACUAAUCUUGUAUCAUUUUGAAUAUUGUAUUUUUAUGUGGCUUGUUUGAAAUUGACUAAUUUUUUUGUCUAAUUUUUUUUUUUUUUGAAUCGGUUCCUCUUGGCUAAUCCUUUGUAUACUCAGGGUAUAUAGAUUUAAUCUUGCAUAAAAUCCUUUAGAGUAAAAAGGGUAAAUUUUGGUUUAAAGUGUAAUUUCAAAUGAAAAACAAAUGUUUUUUUGGAAUGGAUUAAGAUGAUUAAUUAUAGCCUUCAUUUUUCAAAAAUAUUAAGUAACGAUUUUUAGUACCGUAAUCCGAGUUUAUCAAACCAACCUCCAAAUGACUUUAAUUUAGUCAAACCCUUUCAAUUUUGCAAAUUAGUCACCCAUCAAAAUCCGAUUUAAUUUAAUUUAAUUUAAUAUAGUUUAAAUAUUUAUUACUUUUUAUAUUAUGUUUGUAGUGUUAUUUUAUGUUUUUUUAAAGAUUUUUAAGCAAAUGAAGCAAACUUUUUUUAGUUAUUACAAAUGAUCUUUUUAAAUCCUUGCAAUUUUUCAA
rnacentral:lncRNA from 1 species